AUUGAACGCUGGCGGCAGGCCUAACACAUGCAAGUCGAGCGGAGCGGCGGACGGGUGAGUAAUGCCUAGGAAUCUGCCUGGUAGUGGGGGCUAACGUCCGGAAACGGGCGCUAAUACCGCAUACUAUCAGAUGAGCCUAGGUCGGAUUAGCUAGUUGGUGGGUUAAAGGCCUACCAAGGCGACGAACCGUAACUGGUGUGACAGGAUGAUCAGUCACACUGGAACUGAGACAUGGUCCCGAUUCUUACGGGAGGGAGCAUUGGGGAAUAUUGGACACUGGGCGAAAGCCUGAUCCAGCCAUGCAGAGUGUGUGAAGAAGGUCUUCGGAUUGUAAAGCACUUUAAGUGGGGCAGCGAUAACAAGAGAAUAAGCAACGGCUAACUUCGUGCCAGCCGCCGCGGUAAUUG
rnacentral:rRNA from 1 species